AUUGAACGCUGGCGGCAGGCUUAACACAUGCAAGUCGAACGAGUGGCGGACGGGUGAGUAAUGCUUGGGAAUCUAGCUUAUGGAGGGGGAUAACUCCGGGAAACUGUAGCUAAUACCGCGUACCAUAGGAUGAGCACAAGUGGGCUUAGGUAGUUGGUGAGGUAAAGGCUCACCAAGCCGACGAUCUCUAGCUGGUCUGAGAGGGUGACCCGCCCCGCUGGGAAUGAGCCACGGCCCAGCCUCCUCCGGGAGGCAGCAGUGGGGAAUAUUGCACAAUGGGCGCAAGCCUGAUGCAGCCAUGCCGCGUGUAUGAAGAAGGCCUUAGGGUUGUAAAGUACUUUCAGCGGGGAGGCGUUACCGACAGAAGAAGCACCGGCUAACUCCGUGCCAGCAGCCGCGGUAAUUC
rnacentral:rRNA from 1 species